rnacentral:rRNA from 1 species
GACGAACGCUGGCGGCGUGCUUAACACAUGCAAGUCGAACGGAAAGGCCCUGCUUGCAGGGUACUCGAGUGGCGAACGGGUGAGUAACACGUGGGUGAUCUGCCCUGCACUUCGGGAUAAGCUUGGUAAACUGGGUCUAAUACCGGAUAGGUGCCAUCUUUAGUGUGGUGGUUGGAAAGUUUUUUCGGUGUAGGAUGAGCUCGCGGCCUAUCAGCUUGUUGGUGGGGUAAUGGCCUACCAAGGCGGCGACGGGUAGCCGGCCUGAGAGGGUGUACGGCCACAUUGGAACUGUGAUACGGCCCAGACUCCUACGGGAGGCAGCAGUGGCGAAUAUUGCACAGUGGGAGCAAGCCUGAUGCAGCGAGGCCGCGUGAGGGAUGAAGGCCUUCGGGUUGUAAACACCUUUCGCUAGGGAAGAAGCUUUUUUGUGACGGUACCUAGAUAAGAAGCACCGGCUAACUACGUG